GCCCGAAUAGCUCAGCCGGUUAGCGCACUUGACUGUUAAUCAGGGGGUCGUUGGUUCGAGUCCAACUUCGGGCGCCA
rnacentral:tRNA from 1 species